CGGCAUCACUCUGCGGCGCGCGAGGGGGCUGAGCAGAGAGCUCACUAUUCAGUGCUCCCUUGCCAGCGCCGGCCUCCCGCCCAACAGCCCCACUGGACCCCAGGGAAAGGGAGAACCCCUGCCCCCCAGCAUUCCCAAAGGUAAGGAGGCUGGGGGGAUUAAAUUUUUUUUUUUUUUUUAAAGUGAGUGUGUUAAUGUGAGUGUGUGUCUGUUAGUGAGUAUGUGUGUCUGUUUGUGUGUUUCUGUUAGUGAGUAUGUGUGUCAGGGAGUGUGUCUGUUAGGGAGUGUUACUAUGUGUGUAUCUGUUAGUGAGAGUGUUUAAUAUGUCGUAUGUUGUUGUUCAUCUCAGGUUGUAUUUACCAGAUUUUAAGACCUGCUUAGGAACAGAUGAUUGUUAUUAUGUAUCUAGAAUUCUAAGAGGGUGUGCUUUCUUUUUCCAAUGACCAUACAAUGGAAGCAAACUGACAAUUCAGGAUUCUUGAAAAUUGUUACUGAGUUGCCUUCUGAUGUGUAACCAGCAGAUGGCACAGGAACUCAAUAUUCAUAUAUUCUAGCCCGUAUGUCACCCUCCCUCCAUUUUUCUUAUAUCUGCAUUAAAAGAAAGAACUGGGUUUGUGUCACUAGAGUGGCUGUGAUUUGAGCCUAUCCUAAUUGGAUCUUUC